GCCAGUGUGGCUCAGUGGUGGAGCACCCACCUAUGAACCAGGAGGUCAGGGUUCGAUUCCCGGUCAAGGGCA
rfam:Myotis davidii contig196462, whole genome shotgun sequence.